GCCUGGUUAGCUCAGCUGGUUAGAGCGUCGUACUAAUAUCCUCGCUACGAGAUAUCAAGUCAUGCGAAGGUCAACAGUUCAAUCCUGUUACUGGGCA
rnacentral:tRNA from 1 species